GGUCUUGUGGGGUAAUGGCAGCCCAACUAGGAUAUCGUCCGUAAGCGGAGGUGCCGGUUCGAUUCCGGCCGAGACUA